ensembl:lncRNA
UCCAAAAAAAUUCAACCCUGCCCUCGUGCCUUUAUUAGGUCACAGAGAAAGGUGCUGGGAGGUGAGGGAGGAGGCAGCCCUGGUCCCGCGCCUCCCCGACCCCCAGGCUGGGCUGGGCACUGCUCUCUGGUGGGCCGGAUCCUGCUCGGGGCUGUCUCCAAGCUGGCGUCAGGGUGCUCGCGUGCUGCACACUGUGAGCACCCGCUGCCACCCUGAGCACCCUCUUCUCCCAAAGGCAAGCUGCAAAAAGAAAGCAAAACCCCAAAAGCACCCACUUUAAGUAAUUAAAAUUAGUUUCCCCUGAGGUUUGCAGCUGCUGCGCCCUGCAGCUGAGCUCGCUUGGGAGGCAGCAGCACGAGUCCCCCCGGGGCCAAAGGAGCCUUAGAUGGUCCCAUCCUCCCCACUGGUGAUGCAGGGACAGCGGGGGUGGCCGGGGGCGAGCUGUGGCAACGCAGAGGAUAUUGCACCGGAGCGCGCGCCCAUGAGGGUGUGAGGAACCGCAGGCGAGAGAGGAAGUUGUUGAUGGCCGGUCACGGGUUCCUAGGGCUUUCUCCAGCUGCAGGAAGCUUGCUCACACGCUCCAGAGAUGGAGCAGCUCAGGGACGUUCUGCCGGCGCCGUGGAUGGUGCUGUGCCUGGUGCUGUGGGUGGCAGCCCAGCUCCCUGCGGGUGGCCAAGGCUGGGCAGGCAAGAAAGGAGCUGGGGCACAAACGAGCAACUGGAGCCUUACUGGAGGGGUUGCAAACACCUCUGCUCAGGACGGAGAUGAUGCAAACACGGGCAGCUGCCAGCUGGUGCGAGGACAGGGCUGUGCCUGCCGGAGGAGAGCUGCGGCUGCUGCCCAAGGAAC